GAUGAAGAACGUAGCGAAAUGCGAUAAAUAAUGUGAAUUGCAGAAUUCAGUGAAUCAUCGAAUCUUUGAACGCACCUUGCGCCCUUUGGCUAUUCCGAAGGGCAUGCCUGUUUGAGUAUCAUGAACACCUCAACUCUUCACGGCUUGCCGUGAUGAGUUUGGACUUUGGGGGUCUUGCUGGCCUACGAGCCAGCUCCUCUCAAAUGUAUUAGCUUGCCGGUGUUUGGUGGCAUCACAGGUGUGAUAACUAUCUACGCUUGUGGUUUUCCACUAGGUAACCUUCAGCAAUGGAGGCUCACCGGAGCUCACAAAUGUCUCUCCUUGCCAAGGACAGAUUUUGACCAUUUGAUCUCAAAUCAGGUAGGACUACCCGCUGAACUUAAGCAUAUCAAUAAGCGGAGGA
rnacentral:misc_RNA from 1 species